rnacentral:lncRNA from 1 species
AAAUGUAUAUGUAUGUAUGCAAAUGCACGAAAAUGCGUGGGUAUGCAAAAAUAUUUUUUAAUUUUUUAAUUUGAAGGUAUGCUAAAAGUUUUUUUUUAAGAUGCAAUGCAACUAUCCCAUUAGGACAGUGACAGAUAGGAGAACCCACACGGGUUUAGAGAUUGUGAUGGAUAUAGAACCCACAUAUGGAUUUAAGGAUAAUGUCGAAUAUAAGGACACCUUGUUUAAAA